AUAGCCCGGCGAAAGCCGGAUUAAUACCGCAUACGACCUACGGGUGAAAGCGGGGGAUCGCAAGACCUCGCGCUAUUGGAGCGGCCGAUGUCAGAUUAGGUAGUUGGUGGGGUAACGGCCUACCAAGCCUACGAUCUGUAGCUGGUCUGAGAGGGCGACCAGCCACACUGGGACUGAGACACGGCCCAGACUCCUACGGGAGGCAGCAGUGGGGAAUUUUGGACAAUGGGCGCAAGCCUGAUCCAGCCAUGCCGCGUGCGGGAAGAAGGCCUUCGGGUUGUAAACCGCUUUUGUCAGGGAAGAAACGCUCUGGGCUAAUACCCCUGGGGUAAUGACGGUACCUGAAGAAUAAGCACCGGCUAACUACGUGCCAGCAGCCGCGGUAAUACGUAGGGUGCAAGCGUUAAUCGGAAUUACUGGGCGUAAAGCGUGCGCAGGCGGUUGUGCAAGACAGGUGUGAAAUCCCCGGGCUUAACCUGGGAACUGCACUUGUGACUGCACAGCUGGAGUGCGGCAGAGGGGGU
rnacentral:rRNA from 1 species